GUCCAAGCCAGUCCUGCCUCCCUGACUUGGCUCCUAACUGCUUGUCCUACCCUCUGACCUUUUCCUUACCUCUCAGCCGAAGCUGUUUUUCAGACUCAUUUCUCACCUCCAUUCCCUCAAACUUUGAGUCUGAGUUUGAGUUGCCUAGGAAACAAAAGACUGGGUCAGAGACUUGGUUGCCGGUAGUUUUGUUGAAACCGAUCCUGAGAAACAGAAGUGAUGGCGUGUGGUGUGUGAAGGGGGAAGAAAAAAGUGGAAGUGAAGUGAAGGGUCAGACUGCCAGGCAGGACUCUCCAGGACAGGAGAUGUGUGGAGAAUACCUCUCGGAAUUAGCUCCCUGAACAUGAGAUGAUUUGCUCUGGUCUGCACACUCCAUUCCCCCCAAACCUGACUCAGAAUCUUUUAAAGCAGCCACUCACCUCUGCAACUGUCUGAGCUGCCAGUCCUCCUGGUUUAUAUCCUUAAAAAGAUGCUCAUAAUUUAAUCAACCACAUCGCUCCACUCAGAGGAAUUCCACAUCGAGUGGAACAUUUACCCCAGCCAGGUAACUGGACCCCAGUGA
rnacentral:lncRNA from 1 species